AAGGAGGGCGGCUGUGCACAGCCAGUGCUGUGGUGUGUGGGGGCUCCGUCUCUGUCUCAGCCUGGGCCCUCAGUGAUGUGGGGCCCUUUGCAACCCCUGAGGCUCCUUGCAGAACAAAGGAGCUACUGAGGCAGCUGGCUGUGCCUGGCACCUCCCUGCCCCCACCCCACCUCCCAUGUCUUUUUUUUUUUUUUUUAAUUCAAGCAGCUUCAGCCUGUCAGUCCAUGUCUGUUGGAUUGAGGAAGGAAAAUUGAAAAUCUCUUUCAAGGAUCUUUAAGAUUAAAAGGCAACUUGGGCUAAAGCAGAUGGUCAUCAGUGCUUGAAGCUGCAACAAAAGAUGAGGAACACAUAUUUGUCAAGCACUUUCUAUACAUCAGAUUAUUUACUCCUGAGGAAGCAGCUGGAGUUUUGCUGUGGACCCUGAGUGUGCCCGAUGGCUAAGAAAGUCAAGCCUGCAGAAGGAGUUCCCAGAAGUAUUUGAUCAGUUCUUUGUUUCCAGUUCAAAUAAUAAGACAAGAUUAACCGGGUGGUGAGGAUUCUUGACCUGCUGCCUUCGUCUGUCUCCUUUAUCCCCAAGCUCUGUUUGUGGGCUCAGGGGCUUGGUCCCAGACCAUGGGAAGCCAUGCUGACCAUCAAUCAUUCAUCAUAGAUUUCCCCUGGAGCCCUCCCUGUCUCUCCAGCUCUUCCCAAGGUCUGGCUUCUUCUAGGAUCCGGUCCAGUGUGGGCUACCAAUAUCCUCUGGCAUCCAGAACUCAGCCCUGUGAUGAUGCUCUUCCCAAGAAUGUGACCUGAGCCACAACAUUUUACUGACAUGUCCCCUAGAGUCCUCUCUCUCAUUCCAAGAAGAGCUCUGUGGCUUCCAUCCAGUGCUGGGACUGUCUCUAAGAUGAAGUCAAAGAUGUUCUUGAUGGAGUCUCUGUCAGCCUGGAUCCCAGAGUGCCCAUGUGGAGCAGAAAACUCCUUGCCCCAAGUUGGACAUGUAGCUGGAUAAUGUGAGAGCGGAGAAUGGAACAGGAGCUUGGAGAGGUGAUGGCAGCGGCUGAGCAGCGUGUUUGUUGUACCUACCCUCUGUUGGGGCUGUCUGGGGAGAGCCGUGAUGGGGUGCAGGGUGGGGAGUCUUAUACCAUGCUCAUCGCUCUGGAGGGAACACGACUCCAGUCACAAGAACUGAGCUGAGGUCUCUGGUGAUGAUGGAUGUCCACGAAAGUAAACUGGAUCGGACACAUAUGAAGGGCCAAGCACGUUGCAGACAUCAUCAUUGCUGCUCUCACAAUGCCCUGAAAGAUUUUCCCAGAUGUAGAUACUUGGUAAUUCACUAAGGUGCUGGAGGAGGCAGCGGCUUUCAGGUAACCUGACAUCCCAGGAGGUGAUCCAGCCCACUCUCACAAGGAAGCUGUUCCCAGCCUUCCAUGGGAACCAGAUGAAGAAAUAAUAAAGAAAAUGCCAAGAAAAUUAGCCCCGCAAGCCAGGAAGCCCGGGGCCUUUGCUCAGCCCACAGGCCACAAGAGACAGUGCCAGGUAUUCAGAAAACCCCAUCCAUGGGUCAGGCAUGGCUCCCGGAACCUCCUAGGGAUGCAGCUGUGGGGUCGUUGAGAAGCUCGGCUUCUUCAAGUCAUUUGGAAUGACAUGGGAUUUUUCAGUGUCACCUUCCUCUGCAUCAUGGCUGGGCUGAGUGACCCUCACUGUGGACAAGAACCAUGCUGUAUACUCUGGGGGCUGCCAACCCCCCCAGGGCCCUACCCUGCUGAAGGGUAAGCUCAUGUGAUCAAGGAGCUCUGAUGCCUCUGCACAUGUGGUGAGGGCCAGGAGGCAUCUGACAGCAAUCCCGGAGCAGCCCAACCCAUGAAAUGGAGAAGAGUUACCCCAACCAGAGGGGUCUGGGACAGGGCCUGCAGAGGAGACCUGAGUGACAGGGUUGUGGCCAAAAGAAAAGGUGCCUGGGCAUCCACAUACUCUUGUCCAUUCUGUCAUUCCUAAAUCUCUAUUCUCUGCAUUUCCAGUGGCUGCCUGGCCUGCAUCCUCAUCCACAGCUCAGGUCCCUCCCAGUUCCCUUUAUUGUCAGCCCCACUCUUGCUCUGCGCAGGCUGUGCUCCUCCCCUGCAGCCAUGCCACCUCCCACUUACCCUCUGACCUCAGGGUGUCUGCAGAGCCCACUGCAGCUCCCUUGAACUGAGACCAAGGAGGCACCGCUCAUGACCUUUGCUUUGGAAACUUCCACUGUUUCUUUCCUCUC